rnacentral:lncRNA from 1 species
AUGCAGCCUUCAGGGCAGAUUGAAGAUCUGACAGAGAAACCUGUGUGUACUGUGCUACCAUUCCUGAAUAUUCUAAUGGCCUUCUGGGAAAUGUGGAACAGGUUGCAUUCAGAAUUUGGUGGUGGUGAAGCCAAAGAAAAUUUCCCUGUGUAAGUACAUGGGGAACUGAUGUAAAUCAUGAGUAAAUGUGCUGGAGCCAGCAGAGUUCAUUCAAUGUAAAGACAUAAGGUAGGGUCAUCAUCUCUGAGUGGCUGUGUAUGUGCCAAAAGACAAAACCUGAGUGUGUCUUGCACUUUUUUUAAAAAAAAUUAUGAAACUGUAAAAGUUCUCAGAGAAAACUGCUGAAUGAAAAUAAUUUGAGGAAGGAAAUCUGCAGUUAUAAAUUACAGAGCAAUUUACUCCUUCAUGGUUUCUUUUCAAUUAUAAGCACUUUUGACUAUCUGGGGUAUUCAUUUCCAAGGAUGCAUUUUUCUCCGUCUGAUAUCUGGUUCUGAAAUUUCAAAAGUGAAAUACUACAAGUGGGAAGACAUGGGAAGACAGCAAAAUUGUUUUUAAGUGUGGAGGAACUGAAAAGUUUUUCAAUAAUCUUGUAUCAUUUCAGCAGUGUUCUCUCUCUAAGGAUGCCUUGGAAUUAAAGAAAGUAAAUAUUUACAUUAUAAUUAUAUUUCUGUUUAUUUAAUUAACUUAUUAAGCAGAUCUGGCAUACAGAGGCAACUCCCUUUAGUCCUAAUUGUUUCUCCUAAUGUUGCAGUUGCAGCAUUAUUGAAAGAAUUUGGCGAAGAAAGGCCCGCCAUCUCUGUCAGGAUGCAGCAGGAGGGCUGGGGGGAUUUGUUCCAUGGGAAAGAGAGUCACUGAAACGGAUUGCUCAGCUGCCCCCUCUGAAUGACAGCAAAGCAGUUUCACAAAAUGAGACAGGAGUCUGCAACGGGGGGUGGGGAAGGCAGCUUCCAUUUGAAAACUCUCCCUAGUUACUAAACAGUUUACAUAGGUCUGUGUAUGAAGAGAGUUUUUCCAAUCUUUCCACAAAGCUUUCUAGAAUAGUAAUUUUUGUGUCAGGAUAUUUAUAUUAAGAAGCCCACAAAGCCACAGUCAACUUUCCAUACGUGUAACUUGCAGGGAUCCAUACAGAAAGUUUCCAUUAAAAAAAAGCACC